CAGUCGCACGUAGAGGGGGGCUCCUGGCCUCCUUGCUGCUUCCUACCUACCUAGACCCCACAGAGAGGGUGGUGGGAUGAGGCAGGGGGCAGAUCUGGAGGAAAUGUUUCUGAAAACAGAUCUAGGGCUUGUGCAGCAAGAACUCAGCAUUCUACUUGCUGUCCUGUAGGGACAGCCUAGUGCCUGGUUUUGUCUUUGGGAGUCCCUGGCGCCCAGCGGUCUGCCUCUAACCAGGGUUCUGUCUCUAAAGGAUCUUUCCCGCCAUGCCGAUGCCAUAUAUUCCAACGUGAUCAACCUGGCCCCCCAGAAGGAGGAUGACUUUGCUGUCUAUGCCAACAUGCCCCCUUUUCAUCACCCCAGGAGGACAUCGCCAGACCAAGUGGAAUAUGCCUCCAUUGAAUUCCACUGAUGGGAAGCCAACGAGAUGCUCAGAGUGGGGAAAGGGUGCAGAGCAGCCACUAGACUUUUAUGUGGCAAAUAGGAUGGUUAUGCCCAGCCUGAAGCCAGGAUGCGCUUUCUGACUGCCUUGAUUUGUGUUCAACAGCUCCAAAUGCUUAAUGAGGUAGCAAGACAUGUCUCUCUUGGGCAGUACUUCCCACCUGGGGGUAAGUUUGCCACCCUUACCCCCAUCCCAGUGAAUAUUUGCAAUUCCUAAAGGUGUGUUUUGAUUGUCACACCUGGGUGGGGAAAAUGCUACUGGCAUCUAAUGCAUAGAGGGCAGUAAUGCUGCUAAAUAUCUUUCAACGCACAGGACAGAGCCCCACAAAAAAGCGUUAUCCAGCCCCAAAUGUCCAUCACACUGCUGCUGAGAAAACCUACUGCAGGAUCUUCCUGGGCUUCACAGGUAAGCUUGCCUUUAUUCUGGCUUCUGUAGAUAUCUAAAAUAAAGAUACUGCCCAGGCCCUCAAUGUCCCAAGCCAGGGCUCAAGGCAAUUCCAAUAACAGUAGAAUGAACACUAAACAUUGAUUUCAAAAUCUCAGCAACUAGAAGAGUGACCAACCCUCCUGGCUGACCUGGGACCAUCCUAGUUUUAGCAUUGAAAGUUUCAGGUUCCAGGAAAGCCCUCAGGCCUGGGCUGCUGGUCACCCUAGCAGUUGAGGGACUCUUCACUACAGAAUUAGUCUCUAUGGGUUUUGGGCAAGCAACUGCCCUUCUCAGUUAGGAUGGGGGAAUUCUGGACAUCUCCAGCU
rnacentral:lncRNA from 1 species